UAGCUCAGUCAGUUGAGUGUGGCACUAACAAUGCCAAGGUCACGGGUUCGAUUCCCGU
rfam:Apaloderma vittatum contig72038, whole genome shotgun sequence.